rnacentral:misc_RNA from 1 species
GAUGAAGAACGUAGCGAAAUGCGAUAAGUAAUGUGAAUUGCAGAAUUCAGUGAAUCAUCGAAUCUUUGAACGCACAUUGCGCCCCCUGGUAUUCCGGGGGGCAUGCCUGUCCGAGCGUCAUUACAACCCUCAAGCUCAGCUUGGUGUUGGGCCCCGCCGCCCCGGCGGGCCCUAAAGUCAGUGGCGGUGCCGUCCGGCUCCGAGCGUAGUAAUUCUUCUCGCUCUGGAGGUCCGGUCGUGUGCUCGCCAGCAACCCCCAAUUUUUUUCAGGUUGACCUCGGAUCAGGUAGGAAUACCCGCUGAACUUAAGCAUAUCAAUAAGCGGAGGA